rnacentral:rRNA from 1 species
UACGUAGGGGGCAAGCGUUGUCCGGAAUCAUUGGGCGUAAAGAGCGCGUAGGCGGUCCGGUAAGUCCGCUCUGAAAGUCCGGGGAUCAACCCCGGGAGGCGGGCGGAUACUGUCGGGCUAGAGUCCGGAAGAGGCGAGUGGAAUUCCUGGUGUAGCGGUGAAAUGCGCAGAUAUCAGGAGGAACACCGGUGGCGAAGGCGGGUCUCUGGGCCGAUACUGACGCUGAGGAGCGAAAGCGUGGGGAGCGAACAGG